UGGCCCGGUAGCUCAGUUGGUUAGAGCAGGGGACUCAUAAUCCCUUGGUCGGGGGUUCGAGUCCCUCCCGGGCUAU
rnacentral:tRNA from 1 species